rnacentral:lncRNA from 1 species
GGGUCGGAGACGAACUCCUGGUGGCCCAGGCGGCCUCCCUGCGCGGCCAGGAGGCACGCCACGCCACCAGGUCGCCUGGAGCCCCGGGAGCUCCUCUUCGGCUCCACCUUGGCUCGGAAUUUUCCUAAUUUUGCAAAAAAACACAUAAUACAGAACUUUUAUUGAUGUUCGUGAAGUUUCCUUACCGUAUUACAUACCUAUUUGUGUUCUUCUUCUGCUGAUGUCUGACACAGUAUUACAAUAUGUUCUUCAUGAGUAGCUAUUUGUAUCGCAUCCACCUCUACAU